UACGUAGGGUGCAAGCGUUAAUCGGAAUUACUGGGCGUAAAGCGUGCGCAGGCGGCUUUGCAAGACAGAUGUGAAAUCCCCGGGCUACAACCCUGGGAACUGCAUUUGUGACUGCAUGGCUAGAGUACGGUAGAGGGGGAUGGAAUUCCGCGUGUAGCAGUGAAAUGCGUAGAUAUGCGGAGGAACACCGAUGGCGAAGGCAAUCCCCUGGACCUGUACUGACGCUCAUGCACGAAAGCGUGGGGAGCAAACAGG
rnacentral:rRNA from 1 species